UACGAAGGGGGCUAGCGUUGCUCGGAUUUACUGGGCGUAAAGGGCGCGUAGGCGGACAGUUAAGUUGGGGGUGAAAGCCCGGGGCUCAACCUCGGAAUUGCCUUCAAUACUGGCUGUCUUGAGUGCGGGAGAGGUGUGUGGAACUCCGAGUGUAGAGGUGAAAUUCGUAGAUAUUCGGAAGAACACCAGUGGCGAAGGCGACACACUGGCCCGUUACUGACGCUGAGGCGCGAAAGCGUGGGGAGCAAACAGG
rnacentral:rRNA from 1 species